rnacentral:rRNA from 1 species
AGGUCAAGCUACAAAGGGCUCACGGUGAAUACCUAGGCACAAGAAGGCGAUGAAGGACGUGGUUACCUACGAUAAGCUGCGGGGAGCUGGAAGCAAGCCCUGAUCCGCAGGUUUCCGAAUGGGGCAACCCUAUAUA